rnacentral:lncRNA from 1 species
ACACACACACUUGGACACUACACACACAGCUGAGGAGUAACUUUCCUCUUCUCGCGGAGCACCCUAUCCCCUAUUAUCGGCAUCUGAUCUUCCUAGUUCGGAUCCCCGGAACACACGCCUUCUCCAGCCUGCAAUCUACACACGUGGGGAAGCGCGUCCAAGUGGUGCCAGGAGGCAGGAGGGAAGCGCAAAGGUUAAUGCACACCAAGUCCACGUCCUGAUGCAGCAGCACCUCAUCAAUGCGGCUAGUGUAGAAGGGGACACUCAUCUCCUUGGCCAGCUCCUCCGCUUCUUCCUGCGUGCGGCCCCACAGCGCCUUCACCGCGAAGCCCUCGUCUUUCAGCAGCGGGAUGAUGACACGGGCC